UGGGGAGUCGCCAAGUUGGUCAAGGCACCGGAUUUUGAUUCCGGCAUUCGAAGGUUCGAAUCCUUCUUCCCCAUCGA
rnacentral:tRNA from 1 species